UUUGUCAGUAUUAAGUUAAACCCUUUUUUGUACAUUAACGUUACAGAUACACCAGGGUAUGCUCUGAUCAUUUAUGGAUGGAAUUUGUCCAAACUCCAUGAACAGGAACAAGGCGCCAGCAAAAUUCCUUGCGCAUAAGAUCCUUUCUACCAAAAAAGUACAGACAUGUAAAUCUCUAAUAGAGGUGUUUGAAAGUGCUUAUCAGUCCUGAUGAUUCUUCAAGUCCACAGAGUUAAAGUCAUUCCUGGGAUAAGAUUCAAACAUUUCAUGGCUAUGCCAAAUCACAUGCUGAUGACACCAGUGUCGGUGAUGGCAGCUCUGGAAGUGUCGGUGUUCAGGCAUCUCCUGACAUGCAUCAAAUCUCCACAUAUUCCGAAAGACCAGAAAUAACCAUCAAAGACAUUCAAAUCAUUCUUUUUUUAAAUUCUGUGUUUUUGACAUAAUUGAAUUUGGUACCGACAAGUAAUGUACUGAAAAACUGAACACUGUUAAGAUUGAGACAGGGCGUAAAAGAAAGUUAAGACCUGUUGAUGAGUUUCAAUGACAUGGUAAACAAAUUAUUUGA